rnacentral:rRNA from 1 species
GCUUGUCUCAAAGAUUAAGCCAUGCAUGUCUCAGUAUAAGUUCUUAUAUGGCGAAACUGCGAAUGGCUCAUUAAAACAGUUAUAGUUUAUUUGAUGGUUGCUUACUACAUGGAUAACUGUGGUAAUUCUAGAGCUAAUACAUGCAUCAAUACCCGACUUUGUGGAAGGGUUGUGUUUAUUAGAUAUAGAACCAACCCAGGCUCUGCCUGGUUUUGUGGUGAUUCAUGAUAACUGAAUGAAUCGCAUGGUCCGCCGGCGAUAAAUCAUUCAAGUUUCUGACCUAUCAGCUUUCGAUGGUAGUGUAUUGGACUACCAUGGCAGUAACGGGUAACGAAGAAUUAGGGUUCGAUUUCGGAGAGGGAGCAUGAGAAACGGCUACCACAUCUAAGGAAGGCAGCAGG